GAAAUGCGAUAAGUAAUGUGAAUUGCAGAAUUCAGUGAAUCAUCGAAUCUUUGAACGCACAUUGCGCCCGGCAGUAAUCUGCCGGGCAUGCCUGUCCGAGCGUCAUUUCAACCCUCGAACCUCCGUUUCCUCAGGGAAGCCCAGGGUCGGUGUUGGGGCGCUACGGCGAGUCCUCGCGACCCCCGUAGGCCCUGAAAUACAGUGGCGGUCCCGCCGCGGUUGCCUUCUGCGUAGUAAGUCUCUUUUGCAAGCUCGCAUUGGGUCCCGGCGGAGGCCUGCCGUCAAACCACCUAACAACUCCAGAUGGUUUGACCUCGGAUCAGGUAGGGUUACCCGCUGAACUUAA
rnacentral:misc_RNA from 1 species